AUCCUGCCAGUAGUCAUAUGCUUGUUUCAAAGACUAAGCCAUGCAUGCCUAAGUCCAGCCGGGUAUAUCUCUUCGGGGAUGACUCAGCGAAACCGCGGACGGCUCAUUAAAUCAGUUGUGGUCUAAAUGGGCGACAGUUAUUUUUUGGAUAACUGUGGUAAUUCCAGAGCUAAUACAUGCGACUAAAGUCCCUAGCCUUCAUAGGCGACGGAUGCUUUUAUUAGACCGAGGUGAACGGCUGCUUCCUUUUCGGAGGUUUCAGUACGCGAUGCUAAAGGUGACUCUGGAUAACACUUGAUAAGCGCACGCAACACUUUAGUGAGCGGCGCUGCCACUUUCGAGUGACUGCCUUAUCAGCUAGUAACGUUUGUUAUGCGCAAACGCUGGCUCUGACGGGUAACGGGGAAUCAGGGCUCGAUUCCGGAGAGGCAGCCUGAGAAACGGCUACCACGUCUAAGGACGGCAGCAGGCACGCAAAUUACCCAAUCCCAGCACCUGGGGGAGGUAGUGACGAAACAUACCGAUGCGGGCGUCUCUUCGGAGCGCUCGCAAUCAGAAUGGCUAUUUCCUAAACACACUAAUGAGAACCUACUAAAGGGCAAGUCUGGUGCCAGCAGCCGCGGUAAUUCCAGCUUUAGUGGCGUACACUAAAUUUGUUGAGGUUAAAAGGCUCGCAGUUGAAUGUCUGUUAAAGAGCGCAGAUGGGUCUAGACGUUGGGUUCCACGAUGUGGUGCGUGUGUUCGCAUUUCGUAUUCGCGCGUGGUUUUCCCGUCUUAUCAGUACCCUCUCGCUCGAUGACAUACGAGCACAAGCUCGCGUUUGACUUGUCACUCGCAGGCUCGUGUUCAUGUCACCUUGAGUAAAUCAGAGUGCUUAAUGCAGUCGCAACGAAGGGCUUUCGAGUGAUCGAGGGCCCGAGGCUUGGGAGACGCUUGGUUAACGCCUUGUUUAUCCCUUUGACGGUCUUUGCUUUGCAUGGUACGUCGGAAGACGCCGCUUUACUCGUUGGUUAAUCGCGUGAGCUUUGGUUUUCGUAUCACGCCAGCGAGUGCGGAAUGAUCUGACAGGAACGGUCGAGGGCAUUGGUAUUGCGGGGCGAGAGGUGAAAUUCUAUGACCCCCGCAAGACCUCCUGAAGCGAAGGCGUCUGCCAAGGACGUUUUCAUUAAUCAUGAACGAAAGUUAGAGGAUCGAAGGCGAUCAGAUACCGCCCUAGUUUUAACCGUAAACGAUAUCAACCAUCAAUCCGCGUGAGACCCUUCGUUGCGCGUUGCUUGCUUAAUCGCGGUGCGCGUGACAGUAUGGGCUCGGCGGGCAGCUCCACCGAAGGAAACUUUUAAGUUAGAUUCCUGGGGGAGUCUGGUUGCAAAGCUGAAACUUAAAGGAAUUGACGGAAAGGCACCACCAGGCGUGGAGCUUGCGGCUCAAUUUGACUCAACACGGGCAAACUUACCAGGCCAGCACGGUCGUACGAUUGACAGAUUGAAAGCUCUUUCUCGAUUGAGUGGAUGGUGGUGCAUGGCCGUUCUUAGUUGGUGGAGUGAUCUGUCUGGUUAAUUCCGAUAACGAACGAGACUCUCCCCUGCUAACCGGCGUUUCUGACGCAGUAGACGGCGCGAUUCCACGGUAAGAAACCCCUGCUAAUGUAGGGUGCUUUCGGACGAGUCCGCUGAUCUCCUUGGCUCCGUUUUAGUGUGCGCUACUCGUGACGCUGUUGAUCUAUAUGGUCUUCGGUGAAUCGUUUGCGUUACGCGACAAACGCCCUCGGAGAGCGUAUCUUCUUAGAGGUAUUGACGACUCUUUCAAAGUCGUAAGAGACAGAGAGCAAUAACAGGUCUGUGAUGCCCUUAGAUGUUCUGGGCCGCACGCGAGCUACAAUGCCGGGUACAGCGGGUAUUUCAUCCUAUGCCGAGAGGUACGGGUAACCCUGUGAAAACCUAUAUUGAACUUUAUGAGUUCUUGUGGCUCGCUUGGGCCUGGGGCUUGCAAUUCUUUCCCACAAACGAGGAAUGCCUAGUAGUGGCGGAUCACUGAGCCCGCAGCGACUCAGUCCCUGCCCUUUGUACACACCGCCCGUCGCUACUACCGAUUGAGUGUACCAGUGAGGCACUUGGACUAGCGAACCGGGUCACUUUUGUGAUCGGGCGAACGAUGGAAAGAGGUCCGAACUGGUGCA
rnacentral:rRNA from 1 species